rnacentral:rRNA from 1 species
UACGAAGGGGGCUAGCGUUGCUCGGAAUCACUGGGCGUAAAGGGUGCGUAGGCGGGUCUUUAAGUCAGGGGUGAAAUCCUGGAGCUCAACUCCAGAACUGCCUUUGAUACUGAAGAUCUUGAGUUCGGGAGAGGUGAGUGGAACUGCGAGUGUAGAGGUGAAAUUCGUAGAUAUUCGCAAGAACACCAGUGGCGAAGGCGGCUCACUGGCCCGGUACUGACGCUGAGGCACGAAAGCCAGGGGAGCGAACGGG